rnacentral:rRNA from 1 species
UGGGGAAUAUUGCACAAUGGGCGAAAGCCUGAUGCAGCAACGCCGCGUGAGCGAAGAAGGUCUUCGGAUCGUAAAGCUCUGUCCUUGGGGAAGAUAAUGACGGUACCCUUGGAGGAAGCCCCGGCUAACUACGUGCCAGCAGCCGCGGUAAUACGUAGGGGGCAAGCGUUAUCCGGAAUUAUUGGGCGUAAAGAGUGCGUAGGUGGUUACCUAAGCAGGGGGUGAAAGGCAAUGGCUCAACUAUUGUUAGCCCCCUGAACUGGGCUACUUGAGUGCAGGAGAGGAAAGCGGAAUUCCUAGUGUAGCGGUGAAAUGCGUAGAUAUCACGCAGAACGCCGAUUGCGAAGGCAGCUUACCGGCGCUCAACUGACGCUCAGGCACGAAAGUGCGGGUAUCGAACAGGAUUAGAUACCCUGGUAGU